rnacentral:rRNA from 1 species
UUCGUAGGUGGUGCGGCAAGUCGGAAGUGAAAUCUCUGGGCUUAACCCAGAGGCUGCUUUCGAAACUGCCGUGCUCGAGUGCGAGAGAGGUCAGUGGAAUUGCAGGUGUAGCGGUGAAAUGCGUAGAUAUCUGCAGGAACACCCGUGGCGAAGGCGGCUGACUGGAUCGCAACUGACACUGAGGAACGAAAGCUAGGGGAGCAAACAGGAUUAGAUACCCUGGUAGUCCUAGCCCUAAACCAUCAGGACUUGGGGUGGCCCGCGUAGGCGGGUCGUCCCGUAGCUAACGCGUUAAGUCCUGCGCCUGGGGAGUACGGUCGCAAGACUGAA